rnacentral:rRNA from 1 species
CACGUAGGGUGCGAGCGUUGUCCGGAAUUAUUGGGCGUAAAGAGCUUGUAGGCGGUGUGUCGCGUCGGCCGUGAAAACCUGCAGCUUAACUGUGGGCUUGCGGUCGAUACGGGCAUCACUGGAGUUCGGCAGGGGAGACUGGAAUUCCUGGUGUAGCGGUGAAAUGCGCAGAUAUCAGGAGGAACACCGAUGGCGAAGGCAGGUCUCUGGGCCAGCUACUGACGCUGAGAAGCGAAAGCAUGGGGAGCGAACAGGAUAGAUAC